AGUUGGUCUACAGCAUUUGCUACGAGUUAUUGGUUAUUUGAUUUCUCCCUCUUGAACUCUGGGCAGUGUCCCUAGCAAGUUCAGCAUCUCAAACUGCUGCUCUAUCUAGUUCAGAGGCUCUGAAGCAGCUUCAAUGCCGGUAGCUUUUUCUUUCAUCCAUUUGGAAGCCAUAGGGAAGCUGUAUGGGUUAAGACCAGCAGUGUAGUUAGGCAAGUUCCAUCUCUAUCAAACCAGGAGAAAUAAUAGGGUAGUACAGAAACCACAAGAGCUCUGGAGCAAUGAAACAGAAACCAGCAUAUUGUCAGACUAAUCAGAAGGCAAAAUCUAAGUACUAUCAAGCCUUGGCAGGUUUUGGCUAAUAAAGUAUGACUCUCAACCAAAGGCCUUCUGAGGCCCAGGGCCCUUAGAUGUCUCAUUCACAGUCAAGAGCUGGUCUUCAGGUGUUGAAGGUGUAAUACUUCACAAAAGAUUGCAGGAGAGGGGCACUAAGCAGAGUUGUUCUGAGAGCUGUACAAGAGUGGACAUAGAUCCCGUAUUAAAUUCUUGCCAUUUUUAUUGACCUCAAAUUCCAUUAGAAAAAACUGAUGAUUCCAUUUGGUUAUUUACUCUGAAUAGGCAAAAAAGAGUAGCAGCUAGGAUUCAGGACUUAUUUCUAAUUUUGUUAGGACUUAUUUCUAAUGCUACUAUAAGGAAAUAUACUAAAUCAGGUUUAAAAAAUAUGUAAGCUAAAACCUGUACAUUAAAAGAAAAGAGAAAAAAAGAGAAAGAAACCUAUAGUAUUUGGCAGAAUGAAAAAAAGGAACAUUCUCAACCUGAACUCUUGGCAAACACUGCAUGUUUUCUCAUAAAAUGUAGUUUGCAAAGCUACCUGAGACCAUGAUAUGGACAAACAAUCUCUAGCUAUGUUCCAAAUCUCUGUCAGGACACCAGCAUUCACUUUAAUUAAUAAUCUCUUUACAAAAGCAAACGGCACAGCUGAGAGAAACCAUGGGGAAGAUGGAGUCACAUCUAAUGUGUAAGGCACAGGAGUGUUUGGAACAUCUCAUGGAGGGAUGAUUGCAAGUCUUGGGUUCUCCAAAGUGUGUGUGGAUGGCCUAAUGGGCCUUGAGGAUGAGAUAGGAUCUGAGAAGAAGCAAAAAUGCAACUAGCCUUCAGCAGAUGCCUUUGCCAGGUGCCACAUCAGCAAAGUGGACCCAGAAGCACAAGUGUUACCAGCCACACAGUGGCAGGAUCUGAGGUCACACUUAAAUGUCUGACUUAUGAUGAUUCAUACAAAUCAAAAUGAAUAAAAAUUAUCACCCUAAAAGAGAUGAAUGCGUCCCAGAGAAUCUGGCUUAUGAAAGAGAGUUGAAGUACAUGAGUUUCUAAAAUAGUUCAUUCUUUAUUUUUAAGCAUUUUUAUAUCAUAUGUACAAUUAAAACCUUAAUAAAUCUUUGCCUUAAUUUUAUUAUAGCUGCCAACUAUGAACCGGAAAGAAAACUUCACUAUAAUUGUACAGAACUUUUCAAAGUAUAAAGAUAUAUCUAAAGUCAGAGAGGGACAUGUUAAUUUCUGUAAAAGGAAGAAUUCUAUACUUCCAGAGAGAAAUAUUCCACUGAAAUAUUCACUCCUCCGUAAGUACAAAGUACAAAAGAAACAUGAUAUCCAUUAUGUGUCAUUACUAAAUUCAUUAUCAAAGUGAUGCCCAAAAUACCAUCUCUACCUUUCAUCCCAUGGAAUGAUAGGGUUAUUACUAACUUAACCAAUAUUAAUAACUCCACAGUCUCUGUGAAUUAAAAACAACAGUUGUACCUCUGCUGUUUCAUUGUCCUCCAGCCCACAACUAACCUAUUUUUAGAAGAAAAUCUCUGACAGACGUGAUUUCUCAUAACCUGAAUUGCAGGUAUAUCCCACAGAGUGGAGGUGGUACAUGCAAAUUAUCAGAAUAUCUACUCGACACAUAAAAGGAGCUGAGGAAAUUCAUUUUGACUUGAACUUAAGUCUUUAUGGUAACUUUUAAUGGAUUGCUGAUUUAUUAUGAAAACUCUUUUAAUCCAUCUCAAGAAUAACUAUAAUGACACAUCAAAUAUCUACAGCAAACCAGCAGAAGAGAAAAAUGUUGUAAGGCAAGGCUAAAAUGUCAGUAGGUUGGAACUAAAACAAUGUGAUAGUGCACUUGUCCAAAGUGCAGAAGGAAAAAUAUGUCCUGAUGACUGAUAGUUUCAGAUUCUGCAAAAGAUAAUUUUCUUUGAUUUGGCAAAUUCUUUCCUGUCUCUGUGCUUUUUUUUUUUUGUACCAGGGAUCAAACUCAUGACCUCCUGUUUGCCAGGCAGGCGCUUAAGCCACUGAGCUAAAGCCUUGGCCUCAUGCCUUUUUUUCUUAAAAAACAGCAAACAACAAAAACUAACUAACUAACUAAAAACAAACAAAAAUAGACUCCUCAUGUGAGCAUUUAAAAUCAUGUGACUUAAUUUGUAAAUAAAAAUAAAUAACAGCAACUAUGGCUAGAUAACCCAUACAAUAUAAGAGGCUGGAAAAUUUCCCAUGAUGCCAGACCUCCUGGAAGAACUUUUGGUAGUUAAAAUUAGAUUGGUACCUGACAGAUUGAGCCCACAUUCUUGAUGUCAGAAUGUUUGAUAAACAACAAAGGCACAGCCUAAGAGAAGAAUAUGGUUUCAUCUCAGCAAACUCACCCACCUAUUAAGGUAUUAAUUAGAGUAGUGUUAGAUUAAAUGCCCUAGUCCCUCCUUACAGGGUGAAGUAUGAAUGGUAAACCCGAUAUUAGAGCAACUGAUUCUUUUUACAUUAAUAGAGCCGGCAUCAUUCAUAAUGGAUGACCAGGUAAGUUUUCCUAUGUAACAACUGUUUUUGCUUCUGUUUUCAAGUUGCAUUUUCAGUUAAACAGAUAUACACUUACUGCCUUCAGAUGCUGGCCACUAAUUCCCAUGAGGAAAGUCCCUCUCUGCUCUUACUGUCCAUACUAUGAGUCUUCUUGUCCAGGUGCCGGGGAUGACACUGCCCAGUAAAAAGGAAAGCUUCCCUAGAAUGAAGUCUAAAUCUUCCAGCCUAAGAGAAGCUAUAAGGGUGUAGGCAGCCACCACUACCAUCCUUUAGUGAAUAGCUCAAGAGUCCAGACAGCCAAGGCCAAGAGGAAAGGGGAUGGAGAAACUACAGAAAGACGCACAGCUCUCAGAGACAAAGGUGCUUCUUUCUCCCCACAUCGAGGACUUCUCCCAGUGACUUGGGCAGGACCCCAGAGCAGAAAAGGAAACUGCUUUGUUUUUAAGUACUAAGGAUUAAACCCAGAGCCUUCAUAUGAAGCUACAACCCCACACUUUUAAAAAAAGUCUUCAAUAAAAAAGAAGACAGGAUCUCCCUAAGUUAUUAAAUUGCCCAAGCAGGGCUUGAACUUGUAAUCCUCCUCCCUCAGGCUCUCAGGAGUGCCAGAAUUACAAGCACACACUAAUGGCUGAGUUUUCGUUGUCAGAGGAGGUUGAGACAUUCUUCAUAAAGUUGUUCCUCAUGGACAGUGUCUCAAAAUGUCUCCAAAACACCCCUUCAACUUGAAUAACCAUACAAUUUGACUUUUAAAACUUAAUGAUUUAAAUAUAUAAUACAUAUUUAAUACUUAUACCUAUAUUAAAAGACAAAAAUGUCAUGUCUGAAGGCAGAUGGGAAUUAAUAAAAUCACUGAGAAGUA